AAAGUCGUAACAAGGUCUCCGUUGGUGAACCAGCGGAGGGAUCAUUACAGAGUUGCAAAACUCCCAAACCAUUGUGAACGUUACCUUUACCGUUGCUUCGGCGGGCGGCCCGGGUCCUGCCCGGCGCCCCUCGGCCCUCGCGGGCGCCCGCCGGAGGUAAACCAAACCAUUGCAUUGUAUGGCCUCUCUGAGUCUUCUGUACUGAAUAAGUCAAAACUUUCAACAACGGAUCUCUUGGUUCUG
rnacentral:misc_RNA from 1 species